UGGUAAUACUAAUUUAAGAAUCAUGUGUGACGCCCCCAAAAUAGGUAUACAUCACCCAUUCUGAGUCGCCAAAUACAUGGUACAUAAAUCAAAUACAAACUUCCUUUAUACAAUACGACAACAUCGUAGCUUAGAGUUUUUACACGAAUAUUGUCUCAUAGACAGUAUUCAAACUCUAAUAAAGUCUUCAUUACAUUUAUUAUCACAUUAUUUCAUAAAAUAGUGACGACUACUAUAGCCACCAUAUCGGACCGUCACUUUGUUCCCCGACUAGUCCCGACUACGUUCUCAUUUCCUG
rnacentral:lncRNA from 1 species